rnacentral:rRNA from 1 species
GCAGCCACUCAUUCAAAGAGUGCGUAAUAGCUCACUGGUCGAGUGAUCCUGCGCCGAAGAUUUCCGGGGCUAAAACUUACUACCGAAGCUACGGCAUCAGUAAUGAUGGGUAGGGGAGCUUCCCAUACGGGUUGAAGCAUGACCGUAAGGACAUGGGGACAGUAUGGGAGUGAGAAUGUUGGCAUGAGUAGCGAGAUGUGGGUGAGAAUCCCACAGGCCGUAAACCCAAGGUUUCCAGGGGAAGGUUCGUCCGCCCUGGGGUAGUCGGGACCUAAGCUGAGGC